GCCGCGAACCUGGGCAUGCUCCUCUGUCCCACCCGGACGUGGAUGCAGGGCCUGGCUGUUGGGUGUCAGAGUGAUUAGUACUGGACCCUGGGGUCGGAGAGCUCAGCGUCCGGGUCCUGAGGCGGCCGCUUGCGAGCUGGAUGGGCUUGGGGCACGUGACCUCCCUGCCCCACAGCGGACGAGAUGUUCACCGACCUCACGGCCACGGCGGACACGCAGAGGCCGUGUGAGAGCUUCUGGACGCACGGAGUGGCGGGCAGAAUGGGAGACCAGGUGCUGAGGGAAACGCAGCGGAAAACAGUGUUGGCGGAUCGCCCCACGCCUGCCGAAUAGACACCUGGGACCCCUGCUGCCCAGCACAUGCGCAGAUCGUAACCCAGUGUGCUUUGCGGGAAGAGCAGCGUGGCAGUGCAGAAGGGCCAGAGCCAGCAAACACGGUGACGAGCUCCGAGCCAGGACUCCCGAGGACGCCCAGGGUCCCAAGUGAGAUGGGGCCUCACCCGCCAGGUGCUUCCGUAGUUUAGAGUCAGAAGCAGGCUUACCAACCGUCAGAUGAGACGUGUUCCGCCCUCCCUCCUGACAGACUUGCACAGCACUUAGAAGGCCAGGCUCGAGUGUGAAGUUCUCAGACUCUGGCCCCCAGGCCCGUCCUGUCCCCGGCUCCUGGGUCACCUGGCAUCGGGAGCGACCUCGUGUGGCUGCGUGUGGGCAGCCCGGCUCCCACGUGCGGACUCGGUCCGCUGACCCAGGGCGCCUCGGCCACCCCUCACGUCCACGUCUGUGCCUACUGCUGGUGAGAAUGGACCUCAGGAGGAGAGAUCCAGAACGCACAUCUGGAGAUGAGCUGGGGGCCGCUGGGGCAGGGGCUCCUGGGGGGAGGGUCCCAGGUCCCUGGAAGAAGGGCUGUGGACUUGAAGUGGGCAGGCUCCUUUGGGGACUCGUCAUCACGUGGGGAGGGACGCGGCCAGAAGGGGCCGGGGGAACGGUCUUGCCUGAUCUGAGUGUGGCUUUGCUUUGAUCAUUUCCUUAGAACGUCUCUGAGGAAGAUAAAGGGGGAGAGUUCGGCAGGAUUGAAGAACCCAGGGCACUGCCGUGUAUCUGACACUGGGGAAAACACACAAACAAAAACAACCCAGUGCCCGAAAGGAGGACGUGUUAAGACAGACAUGGGGAAGCUGUUCAGGGAGAUCGUCCACUACCGGUGCCACCGGGGAGUACCCACACGGCAACAGGGGGUGAUGUAAAUAAACAUUAAAGAAAAAUUGAAAUAAACCGAAGAAGAUGUAAUUAGACUGAGAAAUACUUGUGACAUAAGCACAAAGAAUGACAAGUGUGCGAAGUAUUUGUCUGUUGGACGAGUACGCAUCGAACACCUACUAUGUGCUAGGAGGGGAGGAGACAGAAUGAAACCAACACCGUCCAUCUUCAUGGAGCUUUGAGUCUGACGGGGAGAUGAACAGUGAAAGUAAGGAAAAAAGAAACCGAGAGGUUCUGCUCUCAUCUAACUGUGGUGCGAUCUAGCCGUCACACGCGUGUCUCCCUGGCUCGGCCGGGAGCUCCCGGAGAGCCGCUCAGCUCCUCUCUGUGUCUCCAUCGCCUGGCCCGUGCUUACUGCUCUGAGGUUUUAGAGGAAAGAGUGUGUCCCAUGGAGCGGGCAGAAGGGUUAGAACAACCGGGCAGGAGCACAAUGUCCAGAGCAAUUGCCGAAUUCUGCAGCGGGGGGCAGAGGAGAGUUCUCUUACGGGGCCCUCCAGGCACCUGCAGACCAAGGUGGGCAGGCCCAGCGGGUGGACAGCAGCCCUAGUCUGGAGAGACCACACGGGGCCCCAGAAGCCCGUGUCCUGCGUGAGAGGUACAGCACCUGCCCACAUCCAGGACCGGUACAGAUCCAGGACCAGCUCAGACGCCCGCAAGGGUAGAGGGCCGCGAGCGGUGGCCUCCCGUUCAGGAAGUGCCUCAAAUUUAGACUUGGGGUUGUCUCUCAACGAGGUUAUAAUUACGGACACCGAGAAACACCAGUGGGAUUGGAGAAAAAAAAAGCUUAAUGGUUUCGUGCCUGUGUAUCACGACCAGACUAUAUUGCUUCCCACGUAUUGUGACACUUUUGUAAAUAAAUCCUGUCGUUGUCUGGGAGUUACCGUGA